rfam:Felis catus isolate Cinnamon breed Abyssinian chromosome A1, whole genome shotgun sequence.
GCCUGGGUGGCUCAGUCGGUUGAGCGUCCGACUUCGGCUCAGGUCAUGAUCUCACAGUCCGUGGGUUCGAGCCCCGCAUCGGGCU